AUAGCACAUGGGAAUGUAGUUCAAUGACAGCGUAGCCUUAACCCAUAAGAGUCGGAGGCUUUUAUUAUGAAUGAGAAAGUUGAACUCGCGGAACGAUGAACCUUACUUGCGUAGCGCAUAUAUAUAAAUAUAUAGUUGUGUAUAUGUGCUAUAUAACGUAUACAUAUCACCGUCAUCUUCGUAACACGAAGACGUAAAUCACGCGAUGACGAGUCUGGAUAUACGUCAGUAGGUAUCUUUUUGAUUUCUUCAUCUGUCACGGCAAAGUAGCACACUUAUUAUCUAUCGCAGAAAAAAUUAAUCAAAAAUUGCAAUUUAUCGAAAAUUUAUCAUUCUCUGUUGCAGAAUUAAAUAAUAAUAGCUUCUUCUAAAGAUGAUCCAUGGAAAUGAGAGAUCAAUGCCUGAAACUUAUCUAAACGAUGGCGAUAAUGAUAAGGAUUAUGCGAAACUGUAAAAUAAAAUAAUAACGCUGUUUAUUUGAUUUUAUAUAGUUUCAUCGUCAGUAUUCGCGAACGUGAUUGAACGAAAGUAUCACGCUUGCCUGAAGAUUUCGUGGAUCUCGGCAGCCCUUAGCUUGCUGUCCUUGAGUUUUGAGAAUAUUACACUCUUGACUAACAAUCUUUGGCUAACUUUUUUUAUUAGAAUGAGUUUCGCGUUCGUAGUCAGAAGAAAGACAUUGACACCUGAGAGCUGGUUGUAAAGAAGAUAAUUUAUGGAACUGCAGUGCGUGACCUAGUGCCGUUGCAAACGUUCUACCUUCGAACUAGGUCUUUCACGUUCCCAACUAAGUCCACAUCAAGUUGCAGUGAGUGUAUACAGCCCCUGCUUUCUGUAUUUGUUGUAUUAUAUACAAUUCGGUGUCAAUGACUUGGCUGGCAGAACAGAACUGGUAAUAAAAAUUCCACUACUCAUCUUCUAGAAAUUUUUAUUCCAUCAAUAACUGUAAAUUGGCAAACCAAGUGGCAGAAUAUUGAUAAAAUCAUAACUGUUGUCUUCACCAGAGAGUAAAUUCACCAAACCAAAGUUUUAAGUGUAAAAACUAGAUAAAAUGCAGGAAAUGGAAGAAACGGAAGCGGCGGAAAUGCUGGCAUAAUAUUUACACGAUAUACCAAAGGGAGAGCUUCCGUUAAAUCAGACGCCAGUGGAAGACAGAAUUAGUUAGAAGGAAAUGAUCGAGGCUAGAUUAAUAUGUACACAUGUGGACGGUAAACACCUAGCCAGUCCAGGAGAUGGUGUGGAGAGCUAAAGGAAAAUUAAUCAGUGAGCAAAAGAGAACGAAAGAGCUGGAAAAAAACGAGUGACGAGUGAAGUCUACUCAGUAGUGAGGAUUUCUGGCGAGUCAAGACUCAAGAGUGAGCGUAAAGUAAACUAGUGCACCGACCUGGUGGGCACGCAACCGCGAUGUAAGAGUAUUUUCAAGGGUUAACGAACUCCCGGAGCGCGUCGCGGAAAGUGAAGAAAUGAAGAAGAAAAAAUAAAUAUAAGGCUGCUCAACUAAUUUCACGCGAAUUAUCAUUCAAGAUAAUUAAGGGAAAAUAAUUCUAAUGGAGCUGAAGAAGAACUCUUGUUCUUAUUGCUGAAGAAAUAAUACAAGAAAUAUUAUUUAAUUAAAAUGUUUUAUGAUUAUAAAGAUAAAGGCGGCUAAACAAAACUCAUAAAGUUAUGAGCAAGGUGAAGGUAAAGGCAAACUGCAAAUUAGGUAAAAAUAAGUCUCAGCUAAGCUAAGUAGUGCAAGCGUAAGAGUGCUUCGAGAGGUCAGUAACCACUCGGCGCUCCGUUCCGUUCCGGUUACCCGUUGGUAGCUUCACGGCCAAUCGAGGGAGGGAUACUUUACCAUCACUACUCUCUCAAAGUAUUUGCUGGUUCAGAAUUAUUAUGUAAAAGCCUCCUACCAAUAUCUAUAUAUCUUCAUUGUAUUUAUAUAUAUGUAUUUAUAUAUAUUAUUCUGUUAACGGUCGCUAUUUUAACUUUUAUUUGGAUUGUCAUAAAAAUAACACUCCGGGAUUUUAUUCACUUUAUCUUUUAUUCAUUGUUAAUAUUGUUAUUAUUUUUUUAAGAUUUUAAACACUGACAAGUUUAAUGUUUUAUCGUUAACACUUAUUUACGUUAAGUAAUAUCGCCCGCAUUAAGUACCCACAUUACAUUUGCGUAAUAACACUUGAUAAAAUUUAUUUGCAAGGGUUUUUUAAUCAAUAAGUUAUUUAUGGAAUUUUGUUUUGGAGCUUGCGGUUGGUUAGCUUACGAACGCUUAGAGACUUUAACGCUUGCACGAGAAAUAUUUUUGUAUUUUUCGCCGGAGAUUUUAAUAAUUAAUGAGAG
rnacentral:lncRNA from 1 species